rnacentral:rRNA from 1 species
AGACCGAUAGCGAACAACUAGAGUGAUCGAAAGAUGAAAAGCACUUUGAAAAGAGAGUUAAAAAGUACGUGAAAUUGUUGAAAGGGAAGCGUUUAUGACCAGACUUGGACUUGGUUAAUCAUCUGGGGUUCUCCCCAGUGCACUUUUCCAGUUCAGGCCAGCAUCAGUUUUCGCCGGGGGAUAAAGGCUUCGGGAAUGUAGCUCUCUUCGGGGAGUGUUAUAGCCCGUUGUGUAAUACCCUGGUGGAGACUGAGGUUCGCGCUUCUGCAAGGAUGCUGGCGUAAUGGUCAUCAACGACCCGUCUUGAAACACGGACCAAG